rnacentral:tmRNA from 2 species
GUAAAGACUGACUAAGCAUGUAGUACCGAGGAUGUAGGAAUUUCGGACGCGGGUUCAACUCCCGCCAGCUCCACCA